CGCACAGAGGAGCGUGUCUGGUUGUUGUUCUUUUUCUCUUAUAUUAAUGUCUUCUUCAGCAGUUUUCUGAGCUCUAAACAAUAACAAUAUACGGUUGUAAAAUUUAUAAACUAAUAAAAAUUCGGAUAUUUUUUUCAAUGAGGAUUAGAAUUCCAUUUACAAGACACAGUAGAGAUAAUAUGGGGUAACAAAGAAAGCCCAAAGACUCAAUUGUUGUUGAAAAUAACUUUAAAAUAAAUAUACAUUAACUCAGGUUAUUAUAGAAGUUAUAACUCUUACGGUAUACGUACAUUCUCUUCUAUAAAUAUUCGUUCACAUAAGAGAACUUACUACGGGUAUUUGUGUCGAAAAUUUUUAUUAAAUGUAUUGAUUAUUAACUUUGUGUGUAUAUUUUUUGAGAAUCGGGACUCAGGAAACUCAAAAUACCAAUUCAAUUUCACAACAACAACUCAACGCAAACGAAAAGGCAAAAUUUCUCUGGUUUUUUAU